rnacentral:rRNA from 1 species
GAUGAACGCUGGCGGCGUGCUUAACACAUGCAAGUCGAACGAAGUGUUUAUUUAAAGUUCUUCGGGAUGGAGAAUAGAUUACUUAGUGGCGGACGGGUGAGUAACGCGUGGGUAACCUGCCUCACACAGGGGGAUAACAGUUGGAAACGACUGCUAAUACCGCAUAAGACCACAGCACCGCAUGGUGCAGGGGUAAAAGAUUUAUCGGUGUGAGAUGGACCUGCGUCUGAUUAGAUAGUUGGUGGGGUAGAAGCCUACCAAGUCAACGAUCAGUAGCCGACCUGAGAGGGUGAUCGGCCACAUUGGGACUGAGACACGGCCCAAACUCCUACGGGAGGCAGCAGUGGGGAAUAUUGGACAAUGGGGGAAACCCUGAUCCAGCAACGCCGCGUGAGUGAAGAAGUAUUUCGGUAUGUAAAGCUCUAUCAGCAGGGAAGAAAAUGACGGUACCUGACUAAGAAGCCCCGGCUAACUACGUGCCAGCAGCCGCGGUAAUACGUAGGGGGCAAGCGUUAUCCGGAUUUACUGGGUGUAAAGGGAGCGUAGACGGCAUAGCAAGUCUGAAGUGAAAGCCCGGGGCUCAACCCCGGAACUGCUUUGGAAACUGUUAAGCUAGAGUGUCGGAGAGGUAAGUGGAAUUCCCAGUGUAGCGGUGAAAUGCGUAGAUAUUGGGAGGAACACCGGUGGCGAAGGCGGCUUACUGGACGAUAACUGACGUUGAGGCUCGAAGGCGUGGGGAGCAAACAGG